UACGUAGGUGGCGAGCGUUGUUCGGAUUCAUUGGGCGUAAAGGGUGCGUAGGCGGCGCGGUAAGUCGGGUGUGAAAUCUCGGGGCUUAACUCCGAAACUGCAUUCGAUACUGGCGUGCUUGAGGACUGGAGAGGAGACUGGAAUUCAUGGUGUAGCAGUGAAAUGCGUAGAGAUCAUGAGGAAGACCAGUGGCGAAGGCGGGUCUCUGGACAGUUCCUGACACUGAGACACGAAGGCCAGGGGAGCAAACGGG
rnacentral:rRNA from 1 species